GUGCUCACUUCAGCAGCAUAUACACUAAAACCCCAGAACAAUACAGAGAUUAGCAUGGCUGCUAUGCAAGGAUGACAUACAAACUCGUGAAACGUUCCAUUAAAAA
ensembl:snRNA U6 U6 spliceosomal RNA